GGGUAGAGGAGGGUUAUGGGGUGGGGGGUGAUGGGUCCUCCAGGCCCCAUAGGGAUGAGAGCUCACCCGAUGGUUAUGGGGCCAAAUCAUCCUCCAGACCCCAUAGAGACGAGGGCUCUCCCGAUGGUUAUAGGGUCAGUGGGUCUCCUGAUGGUUAUGGGGCCAAGUCAUCCUCCAGGCCCCAUAGAGACGAGGGCUCUCCCGAUGGUUAUGGGGCCAAGUCAUCCUCCAGGCCCCAUAGAGACGAGGGCUCACCUGAUGGCUAUGGGGCCAAAUCAUCCUCCAGGCCCCAUAGAGACGAGGGCUCUCCCGAUGGUUCUGGGGCCCCCAGCCCCCAUAGAUCCCCCAGUGAAGUCGAGGUUCUCCUCGGGGCCGUCCGUGACGAAGGUUCCUAUUUCCUCGUCUAUGGGGUCCCGGGUUUUGGGAAAGACAACGAAAGCCUUAUAAGCAGGGAGGAGUUUUUAGGGGGGGUCCGCAUGGGGGUCCCUCAAGCCAACGACUUGGCGGCCGAGGCCGUGGUGCUUCAUUACACCGACUGGUUGGACGCCGAUAACCCCAUAAAGAACAGGGAGGCGCUGGACGACAUCGUAGGGGAUCACAACGUGGUCUGCCCCAUGAUGGCCUUCGCUCAGCGCUGGGCUCAAAGGGGGGGGAAGGUUUACGCGUAUCUGUUCGACCAUCGCGCGUCCACCCUGUUAUGGCCGUCGUGGAUGGGGGUCCCGCAUGGGUACGAGAUCGAGUUCGUGUUCGGGCAACCGCUGGAUCCCAAAAAGAAUUACACCAAGGAGGAGCAGGAGCUGAGCAGGAGGAUCAUGAGAUACUGGGGGAACUUCGCACGCACCGGUGACCCUAAUGGUGGGGUGGCUGGACCCCAGUGGCCACCCUACACGCCUUCGGGGCAGCGCUACGCCCACCUCAACGCCCGCCCCCUAAGUGUGGGGCAGGGGCUGAGGACACAGAUCUGCGCCUUCUGGACACGCUUCCUGCCCAAGCUGCUCAACGCCACCGCUUCAGGUCCCACAGAGGACGCGGAACGCGAAUGGCGCCUGGAGUUCCACCGCUGGAGCUCCUACAUGGGCCGAUGGAGGACACAGUUCGAGCACUACAGCCGGCAGCAGCCCUGCGCCACCCUAUAGCACCCCACAACUGCACCACAGGGGCCCUACAACACCACAAUGGGGCCCUACAACACCACAAUGGGGCCCUACAACACCCCAAUGGGGCCCUACAACACCACAAUGGAACCAGAGACACCCAGUGGGUCCCUACAACACCCCAAUGGGAUCAGAUAUAACCUGAGGGUCCCUACAACACCCCAAUGGAUCCCUACAACACCCCAAUAGGAUCAACUACAACCUGAGGAGCCCUACAACACCCCAAUGGAUCCCUACAACACCCUAAUAGGAUCAACUACAACCUGAGGGGCCCUACAACACCCCAAUAGGAUCACAUACACCCAAUGGGGCCCUACAACACCCCAAUGGAACCAGAGACACCCAAUGAGUUCCUACAACAACCUGAGGAGCCCUACAACACCCCAAUAGGAUCAACUACAACCUGAGGGGCCCUACAACACCCCAAUGGGAUCAGAUACAACCUGAGGGGCCCUACAACAACCUGAGGAGCCCUACAAUACCCCAAUAGGAUCAACUACAACCUGAGGGUCCCUACAACAACCUGAGGGUCCCUACAACACCCCAAUGGAACCAGAGACACCCAAUGGGUCCCUACAACACCCCAAUAGGAUCAACUACAACCUGAGGGUCCCUACAACACCCCAAUGGGUCCCUAUAAAACCCCAAUAGGAUCAGCUACAACCUGAGGGGCCCUACAACAACCUGAGGAGCCCUACAACACCCUGAUAGGAUCAACUACAACCUGAGGAGCCCUACAACACCCCAAUGGGAUCAGAGACACCCAAUGGGGCCCUACAACAACCUGAGGAGCCCUACAACACCCCAAUAGGAUCAACUACAACCUGAGAAGCCCUACAACACCCCAAUGUGUCCUUAUAACACCCC